AAUCUACAUACCAAAAAACAAAUAUGAAGCUUAGAAAUGGAAAAAUAUUAAAUACUAAACUCGUUCAAAGGGUAUCUACACGUCUCAAUCUUCAGAAUCGCUUAUCUAAAAAUACUACCAUCGCUAACGUUUUUAACAAUAAAAAUCGUGGUUACCCUUCUAUCGAUAAGUGUCAUGCCAAAAAAUGACUUACGUGUCCCCGUCUUUCCACCAACAAUACAGUAAGGUCCACAUUUAAUGGUCGCA
rnacentral:lncRNA from 1 species